UGCGUAACAGCUCACUGGUCGAGUGGACAUGCGCCGACAAUACACGGGGCUAAGCUGGACACCGAAGCGGCGGGAUUUUGAUUUACAGAAUCGGUAGGGGAGCUUCCCAUGGGCGGGGAAGCCGUCAGGGCGACCGGCGGUGGAGCGCAUGGGAGUGAGAAUGCUGGCAUGAGUAGCGAGAGACGAGAGAGUAACUCGUCCGCCGUGAACCCGAGGUUUCCUGGGCAAGGCUAAUCCUCCCAGGGUCAGUCGGGGGCUAAGGCGAGGCCGGGAGGCGUAGCCGACGCGCAGCAGGCAGACAUUCCUGCACCGCGCACGCGGCGCUACGACCGACGGGGCGACGGAUGGGGGUGGCUCGGCGGGGUUCUGGACGUCCCCGUGAUGGAGCGCGGCCCGCGGACCAGGGAAAUCCGGUCCGCACGAAGGGCGAGGCUCCGGACGAAGCGAUCAAGCGAAGCGAGUGAGCCCGAGGUCCCUAGAAAAACCCCUAGGCAGGCGCGUGCGCGCCCGUACCGCAAACCGACACAGGUGGGUGGGUAGAACAUACCGAGGCGAUCGGGUCAACCAUGGUCAAGGAACUCGGCACAAUGGCCCCGUAACUUCGGGAGAAGGGGUGCCCGCGCGUACGUGAACGGACUUGCUCCGGGAGCGGAGGCGGGCCGCAGUGGAGAGGCCCAAGCGACUGUUUACCAAAAACACAGGACUCUGCAGAAGCCGCAAGGCGACGUAUAGGGUCUGACGCCUGCCCGGUGCCGGAAGGUCACGCGGAGGAGUUAGCGCAUCGCGCGAAGCCCCGAAGCCAAGCCCCGGUAAACGGCGGCCGUAACUAUAACGGUCCUAAGGUAGCGAAAUUCCUUGUCGGGUAAGUUCCGACCUGCACGAAAGGCGCAACGACUUGGGCGCUGUCUCGACCAUGGACCCGGUGAAAUUGCACUGGUCGUGAAGAUGCGACUUACCCGCGGAAGGACGGAAAGACCCCGUGAACCUUCACUGCAGCUUGGCAUUGGCCGCUGGUCCCGCGUGUAGAGGAUAGGCAGGAGGCUAAGAUCCGGAGGCGCCAGCCCCCGGGGAGCCGCCCUUGGAAUACUGCCCUCGCGCGACCGGCGUCCUAACCCGAGGCCGUCAACCGGCUCGGGGACCGUGCCAGGCGGGCAGUUUGACUGGGGCGGUCGCCUCCUAAAGGGUAACGGAGGCGCGCGAAGGUCCGCUCGGGACGGUCGGCAACCGUCCUUUUGAAUGCAAGAGUACAAGCGGGCUUGACUGCGAGGCCCACAAGCCGAGCAGGUGCGAAAGCAGGCUCUAGUGAUCCGGCGGCCCCGAGUGGGUGGGCCGUCGCUCAACGGAUAAAAGGUACUCCGGGGAUAACAGGCUGAUCUUGCCCAAGAGUCCACAUCGACGGCAAGGUUUGGCACCUCGAUGUCGGCUCAUCGCAUCCUGGGGCUGGAGCAGGUCCCAAGGGUACGGCUGUUCGCCGUUUAAAGCGGUACGCGAGCUGGGUUCAGAACGUCGUGAGACAGUUCGGUCCCUAUCCUCCGUGGGCGCAGGAGAAUCGAUGGAGGCUGCCCCCAGUACGAGAGGACCGGGGUGGACGCACCUCCGGUGAACCGGUUGUCGACCAACGGCACGGCCGGGUAGCCGCGUGCGGCGCGGAUAACCGCUGAAGGCAUCUAAGCGGGAAGCCGUUCCAGGGAUUAGUUCUCCUUCCGGUAAGGGCCCAGGUAGACUACCUGGUCGAUAGACGGCAGGUGCAAGGACGGCGACGUCCUCAGCCGAGCCGCACUAAUCGCCCGAGCUCUUCCGGAA
rnacentral:rRNA from 1 species